rnacentral:lncRNA from 1 species
UUACUAAUAUUUAUUUACAGGUUUAGUUGCUUUUGUCUCCAUGUUGUCCAAGGGUUAUGUCGGCCAUGAUCCUAAUACUAUCAUGGGUGUAGCAGAGUUGUUUAACUUGCAAACUGGAUUGAAGAUUUUGAAUAAAUUUUUGUGUUCUUAAUAUGGUCACAAGUUUGUACUUGUUUAAAACCCUCAAUCAUUUGAAAAUUAUGGCGCCGACAUGGUAGAUGUCCUAGAAAAAACUGGUAGUAACUCAAUGUAGAUACACAUAGUCGAUGGAGUUACUUGCUAAUAACUGGCAAUGAGACAUAUUUGCUUCAAAUGAUGCCUUUAAAGUUUGAAAAGAUUUUUUCUAAUUCAAAUGUCGACUUUUUGUUACAUGAAAAAAGAUACUUAUUUAAACCCCUUGACUAUAUUGAUACACUUAGUAUGUGGAGUUACUUGUCAAUAGCUGGCGAUGAAACUUUUAAACGUAACAUCUUUAAGAGCUCAGAAGAAGUCUGAAGACUGCAACGUAAAUCGAUUUCAACACGUUAUGGCUUCUCGAAUAUAUUUAGUUUCCGAUUGAAAUGAGAAUAAACUUAACUUAUAUAUAAAGUGUUUACAAUUAGCUUUUUAAACUAGAAAUACUCCAAAGGAGGUUCUCCAAACGCAAGUUAAGCAAAGUCGAUAGAUGUUAAUAUCUUUUAUAUUAUGUUUUAGAUAUAAAAAAAAAAAUAUUGUGACUUUAAUAUUUAUAUUAAUAAUAAUACACUGCUAUCUUAAAAG